rnacentral:rRNA from 1 species
GUAGGGUGCGAGCGUUAAUCGGAAUUACUGGGCGUAUAGCGUGCGCAGGCGGUUUCGCAAGUCAGAUGUGAAAGCCCCGGGCUCAACCUGGGAACUGCGUUUGAAACUACGAAGCUAGAGUACGGCAGAGGGAGGUGGAAUUCCAAGUGUAGCAGUGAAAUGCGUAGAUAUUUGGAGGAACACCGAUGGCGAAGGCAGCCUCCUGGGCUAGUACUGACGCUCAUGCACGAAAGCGUGGGGAGCAAACAGGAUUAGAUACCCUGGUAGUCCACGCCCUAAAACGAUGGCAACUAGUUGUUGGGGAUUAACAUCCUUAGUAACGCAGCUAACGCGUGAAGUUGCCCGCCUGGGGAGUACGGUCGCAAGAUUA